GGCCAAGGAAUUGUUUUCCUCAUUGGUACUUUAGUACCAUCAUAUACCUUCAAUAGGCCAGAACCCAGUUACAAGUGUCAAUUCAGAAGAAAGUUACUUUCCUUCAGACUUUGAAAGAAAAAGCCGAAUCACAGAUAAGCAGCAUAGUAUAGAACAGAGGUAGGCAACCUAUGACCUGCCAGCUAAGAAUGGUAUUUCAGAGGAACAUUUAGGAUCAGUUUGAUGACAGGGAACGUUAAGUUUCAACCACAAGUAAACCAAAUGUUAUUCUCGGUUCCGUUCUUUUCAUUAGUAGACCUUUACUACGAAACAGUGUCAUUUAUUAUUAUGUUUGGAUUUCAUCAAUACAAAUUUUGUGGACAUUGAUUUUUGCUCUUGUUAUGUAAGUACCUACGUAAUAUCCUCGAUUUCGCUUCUUGGCCCGUAAAGCCUAAACUAUUUACUGGCUGACGUUCACAGAUGAAGUUUGCCAUCUCCUGGUUUAAUAGAAUACACAGAGAAAUGGAAAGCAUUUGCCACGUACUUGCUGGGUGACCUUGGGAAGUCACUUUGCUUCUCGGGCCUUGAUUUUUAUUAUCUGUAAAAUUGCGACAGAGGGUGAUGGGUGGGUGAAAUAAGCUCUAGGGUGAAAACUCCCCCAUCCCCUGAGUUUUUCAUUAAUUACUCAACUAGGCAAAUCUUUAAGCUCCUACUGCUCGUACCAAGAAUUGUUAAAGGCAUUGAGGAUACAUCAGGAAACAAAAUUCCUAUCCCGAAAAAAGGAUACUGUUCUAAAUGAAAAGAGACUUAGGUUGCAAUGUGUGGCCUGAGAUUGGAUCUUAAUUUGAACAGACUAGCCUCAUAGGACAUUUUGGGGAACAGUAGAUGAAUUUGAAUAUGGAUGGGUUUUAGAUGACAUAAAAACUUAUCGAUGUGGAAUAGUGGAGAUCAUGAACUGAAAAAAAAGCAGUUACAAAGUCUUAAGUACAUGUAUUAUCUCAUUUUGGUAGAAAGUACAUAUAUAUUAUAUAUAUUUAGAAAAAGAUCUGGAAAGGUAUAUACUAAGCUGUUAACAGUGGUAAUUUCUGGGUGGUAGAAGUAUAAUGUUUCUAUUUUAUUUUCCAAUUUUUGCCAUGACCAAACAUAUAGUGCUUUUACAAAAAUAAAAGAUUUUUUUUUGGAGUUCCCCUCAUGGUUCCUAGUCGGAUUCGUUUCCCCUGUGCCAUGAUGAAGUUUCCUGUUUUGUUUUUUUUGAUUCUACAUGUAAGUGAGGUCAUAUAGUAUUUGUCUUUCUCUGACUUGUUUCACUUAGCAUAAUACCCUCUAGAUCCAUCCAUGUUGCAAAUGGGAAAAUUCCAUUUUUAUGGCUGAGUAAUAUUGCAUUGUACAUAUCCAUAUAUGUACAUACAUACAUAAAUACAUAUCUUAGCUAUUCUAAAUAAUGCUGUAUUGAACAUUGGUGUGCAUAUAUUUUCAAAUUAGUGUUUUUGUUUUUUUUGCACAAACACCCAGAAGUGAAAUUGCUGGAUCAUGUGGCAAUUCUAUUUUAAUUUUAAUUUAAUUUUUUUCUUUCUUUUUAUGGCUGCACCUGCAGCAUAUGGAAGUUUCCGGGCCAGAGGUUGAAUCGGAGCUGUAGCUACAGCCUGCACCACAACCACGACAACACCGGAUCCAGGCCACAUCUGCAACCUACUCUGCUGCUUGCAGCAAUGCUGGAUCCUUAACCCACUGAGUGAGGCCAGGGAUCAACCAGCAUCCUCAUAGAGACAUCAGGUCCUUAACCUGCUGAGCCACAAUAGGAACUCUAGCAGUUCUAUUUUUUAUAAUUUUAGGAGCCUCCAUACUGUUUCCAUAGUGGCUACACUGGUUUACAAUCCCACUCAAUAAUGCAAGAGGGUUCCCUUUUCUCCACAAAAUGGGCAAAAGUGUGAUGAAAGCAGUAUACAUGUUUACAGUCUUAAAGUGUCUCCCCACAAAAUGCUUAUUCAUUACAAAGGGCAAAACAGUCAUUGCACCAGGGAGAAACCUGGCAGACGCCAUCUUAAGCACAUAAUCAGAGUUAAAAUCCAUAGUUAUGGAGCAAACUGAUGUCAAGUGCCUCUUGAUAGGAUGCCGUGAGAAGGACGCUACAUCACAUCUGUAGUGCGCUUGUCAAAACAAAUAAUCUAAAUUGAGUCACGAAGCAUCAGACAAACCCCAAAUGGAAACCCGUCAGUGUUUUCCCAAAGUGUUGUGAUGAAGGACCAAAAAAAAAAAAAAAAAAAAAAA
rnacentral:lncRNA from 1 species